AGGACGCGGCUCGCUCUGAUCAUCGAGUGCAUUGAACACCUCAGCUCUGAUCCGAGCUUUCAGCUGACCCAACACACCUCGAGACUCCAGGCUCUCUCUCAGAGCUGGGAGAGAAGAUAAGUUGUUGAAAAUGGGUGAUGCCUUUCAGUGCCCAGUCCAGGCCCUUGCGGUACUGCAGUCCAUAGUCUUGGAACUCUAUAGUGCCAGUCUGAGGCCAGGCCAGAGGCAGGGAACUGCCCUCCACGGUCCACCCAGCCUGGUUCCACAGGUCUCCAGCUUCCAGAGGGGUACGAUAACCUUUAACCACCAGCCUGAGGGGAACAGCGAUGAUACACUGAGUGUGCAAAUUAAGAACACCUUCCUAAUAUUGACUUGCACCUGGUCAGUCUAUGUCAUGGAAAGAGCAGGUGUUCUUCAGGUUUUGUACACUCAGUGUAUAAGUUAUACACAAACACCCACGUACAUUAUAAGAU